rnacentral:rRNA from 1 species
AUACGGAGGGCGCAAGCGUUGUUCGGAAUCAUUGGGCGUAAAGCGCGUGUAGGCGGCUUGGUAAGUCGGGUGUGAAAUCCCGGGGCUCAACCCCGGAACUGCAUUCGAAACUGCCUCGCUGGAGUCCCAGAGAGGAGAGCGGAAUUCCCGGUGUAGAGGUGAAAUUCGUAGAUAUCGGGAGGAACACCAGCGGCGAAGGCGGCUCUCUGGACGGUGACUGACGCUGAGACGCGAAAGCGUGGGGAGCAAACAGCAUUAGAAACCCGAGUAGUCC